rnacentral:rRNA from 1 species
CCGGCGAACGGGUGCGUAACACGUGAGCAACCUACCGAAAUGAGGGGGAUAGCCGUCCCAACGGACGGGUAAUACCGCAUACGCUAGAGACCAGGCAUUUGGACUCUAGGAAACCUCCGGGGCAUUUCGAGGGGCUCGCGGCCUAUCAGCUAGUUGGUGAGGUAACGGCUCACCAAGGCGACGACGGGUAGCUGGUCUGAGAGGAUGGCCAGCCACAUUGGGACUGAGAUACGGCCCAG